rnacentral:tRNA from 1 species
CAAAGGGUAGUUUAAUUGGAAGAUUCCGGUUUUGGGG